rnacentral:rRNA from 1 species
CCUACGGGUGACAGCAGUCGAGAAUCAUUCACAAUGGGGGAAACCCUGAUGGUGCGACGCCGCGUGGGGGAAUGAAGGUCUUCGGAUUGUAACCUCCUGUCAUGUGGGAGCAAAUUAAAAAGAUAGUACCACAAGAGGAAGAGACGGCCAACUCUGUGCCAGCAGCCGCGGUAAUACAGAGGUCUCAAGCGUUGUUCGGAAUCACUGGGAGUAAAGGGUCCGUAGGCUGUUUCGGAAGUCGUGUGUGAAAGGCGCGGGCUCAACCCGCGGACGGCACAUGAUACUGCGAGACUAUAGUAAUGGAGGGGGAACCGGAAUUCUCGGGGUAGCAGGGAAAUGCGGAGAUAUCGAGAGGAACACUCGUGGCGAAGGCGGGUUCCUGGACAUUAACUGACGCUGAGGCACGAAGGCCAGGGGAGCGAAAGGGAUUAGAUACCCUUGUAGUCC